rnacentral:rRNA from 1 species
GGUGUUCUUCCCGAUAUCUACACAUUCCACCGUUACACCGGGAAUUCCAGUCUCCCCUACCGCACUCCAGCCCGCCCGUACCCGGCGCAGAUCCACCGUUAAGCGAUGGACUUUCACACCGGACGCGACGAACCGCCUACGAGCCCUUUACGCCCAAUAAUUCCGGAUAACGCUUGCACCCUACGUAUUACCGCGGCUGCUGGCACGUAGUUAGCCGGUGCUUAUUCGAAAGGUACACUCACCCGAAGGCUUGCUCCCGAUCAAAAGCGGUUUACAACCCGAAGGCCGUCAUCCCGCACGCGGCGUCGCUGCAUCAGGCUUGCGCCCAUUGUGCAAUAUUCCCCACUGCUGCCUCCCGUAGGAGUCUGGGCCGUAUCUCAGUCCCAAUGUGGCCGGUCGCCCUCUCAGGCCGGCUACCCGUCGUAGGCUCGGUGGGCCGUUACCCCGCCGACUACCUGAUAGGACGCGACCCCAUCCCAUACCGAUAAAAUCUUUCCCAACCACCAUGCGGGAAGUCGGAGCAUC